rnacentral:rRNA from 1 species
GAAUAUUGGACAAUGGGCGAAAGCCUGAUCCAGCAAUGCCGCGUGAGUGAUGAAGGCCCUAGGGUUGUAAAGCUCUUUUACCCGGGAAGAUAAUGACUGUACCGGGAGAAUAAGCCCCGGCUAACUCCGUGCCAGCAGCCGCGGUAAUACGGAGGGGGCUAGCGUUGUUCGGAAUUACUGGGCGUAAAGCGCACGUAGGCGGCUUCGUAAGUUAGAGGUGAAAGCCCGGGGCUCAACCCCGGAAUUGCCUUUAAGACUGCAUCGCUUGAACGUCGGAGAGGUGAGUGGAAUUCCGAGUGUAGAGGUGAAAUUCGUAGAUAUUCGGAAGAACACCAGUGGCGAAGGCGGCUCACUGGACGACUGUUGACGCUGAGGUGCGAAAGCGUGGGGAGCAAACAGGA